rnacentral:rRNA from 1 species
CGCCCUUAGAGUUUGAUCCUGGCUCAGAUUGAACGCUGGCGGUAUGCUUAACACAUGCAAGUCGAACGGUGACAGGCAGAAGCUUGCUUUUGCGCUGACGAGUUGCGGACGGGUGAGUAACGCGUAGGAAUCUACCUAGUAGUGGGGGAUAGCCCAGAGAAAUUUGGAUUAAUACCGCAUACGAUCUAUGGGUGAAAGCAGGGGAUCUUCGGACCUUGCGCUAUUAGAUGAGCCUGCGUAAGAUUAGCUAGUUGGUGAGGUAAAGGCUCACCAAGGCGACGAUCUUUAGCUGGUCUGAGAGGAUGAUCAGCCACACUGGGACUGAGACACGGCCCAGACUCCUACGGGAGGCAGCAGUGGGGAAUAUUGGACAAUGGGCGCAAGCCUGAUCCAGCAAUACCGCGUGUGUGAAGAAGGCCUUCGGGUUGUAAAGCACUUUCAGUUGUGAGGAAAGCAUAAUGGUUAAUACCCAUUAUGUGUGACGUUAGCAACAGAAGAAGGACCGGCUAACUCCGUGCCAGCAGCCGCGGUAAUACGGAGGGUCCGAGCGUUAAUCGGAAUUACUGGGCGUAAAGCGCACGCAGGCGGUUUGUUAAGCUAGAUGUGAAAGCCCGGGCUCAACCUGGGAAUAGCAUUUAGAACUGGCAGGCUAGAGUCUUGGAGAGGGGAGUGGAAUUUCUGGUGUAGCGGUGAAAUGCGUAGAUAUCAGAAGGAACAUCAGUGGCGAAGGCGACUCCCUGGCCAAAGACUGACGCUCAUGUGCGAAAGUGUGGGUAGCGAACAGGAUUAGAUACCCUGGUAGUCCACACCGUAAACGCUGUCUACUAGCUGUUUGUGGAUUUAAUCCGUGAGUAGCGAAGCUAACGCGAUAAGUAGACCGCCUGGGGAGUACGGCCGCAAGGUUAAAACUCAAAUGAAUUGACGGGGGCCCGCACAAGCCGUGGAGCAUGUGGUUUAAUUCGAUGCAACGCGAAGAACCUUACCUACCCUUGACAUACAGAGAGCUUUCUAGAGAUAAAUUGGUGCCUUCGGGGAUCUAGAUACAGGUGCUGCAUGGCUGUCGUCAGCUCGUGUCGUGAGAUGUUGGGUUAAGUCCCGCAACGAGCGCAACCCUUGUCCUUAGUUGCCAGCGGUUAAUCUGGGCACUCUAGGGAAACUGCCCGGGAUAAGCGGGAGGAAGGUGUGGAUGACGUCAAGUCCUCAUGGCCCUUACGGGUUGGGCUACACACGUGCUACAAUGGCAGUGACAAUGGGUUAAUCCCAAAAAGCUGUCUCAGUUCGGAUUGGGGUCUGUAAUUUGACCCCAUGAAGUCGGAAUCGCUAGUAAUCGCGUAACAGCAUGACGCGGUGAAUACGUUCCCGGGCCUUGUACACACCGCCCGUCACACCAUGGGAGUUGGGUCUACCCGAAGUAGCUAGCUUAACCUUCGGGAGGGCGGUUACACGGUGGGGUUCAUGACUGGGGUGAAGUCGUAACAAGGUAAC